GGUUGGAAAGUGAAGAUAAUUUUUCUUUUAACUGGCUCCUUGAGAAAAUGCUUUGUUCUAUAUAUUAUUAGCCUUCUGUCUGCAAAACAGCAGAUUGGAUCACUCUGUUCCUCAUUGUUCCAAACACUCUGAUUGCCCUGCAGAUGCCAGCUGAUCAAUGCCCAAGCUGAACCUCUCACCAGACUAGAUUUUGACAGAGACUGUGCCACCAAGCAGGGGCUUGAGUGGGAGUCAGACUCCUCAAUGCCCCCCACAACGUACGGAUUUGAACAAGCACAGAGACAGGCCAUCCAGAGAAGACAUGAAAGACUCUGACCAUCAGCUAAGCCAAGCCUGAAACCUACCUGUAAGAGAGAGAAGAGACCGACCACCUCCCUGCAUAUGAAAGGAGCUCAACUUGUUUGCAGCAUCACGUCUGAGAUGGCUAUUCCCUGCUCGUCUCACAGCUAUUCGUCGGGGUAUACUUAUAGAGCACAGAAGCGGAGCAUAGAGGCUCUUGGGACACAUUGCAUCAGGCCUGCAGUUAAGAAGCUGAAAGAAAAGAUCUGAGUGACAUGGGAACAUGAUAGCAGUAAGUUUGAGAA
rnacentral:lncRNA from 1 species